UCCCUUUAUGCCCUCUUGAAACCCUUCUUCUCCAUUUUCCAAGUGAAGCCCUCUCCACCCAUGCUUCCAUUGCCGCCGUGAUGGGCUCAUAGUUUAGUGUAGUUUAGUUUAGUUGUGCCCUGUGGCUGUGGUUGUAGUUUAUCUCUAAUCUCGAGGGUUCAUGGUUUGCCGUAAAAUAUUUCCAUCUAUGAUUUGGAGUCUUCUUGCCAUCCCUUUAUGCCCUGUUUGUGACCCCUUUUUUUUUCCAGGUGAUGACCUCUCUGGCUAUGCUUCCAUUGCCGCGUUGAUGGGCUAAUGGUAUAGUUUAGCUGUGCCUUGUGGAUCUCUCUUUUCCCUUUUCUUCGGUUCCUUGAUCUUUUUGGUUAAACCGCCUAUGUUUUGUCCUCAAAUGGCCCCUUAUCGCAUGUUAUGAUCAUUAUGGGGCCCAUCCACAUCAACCAUGAGGAUAAGCGGGCCCCACACCUUGCAACGAUGCAAAUCCACCGCAGAUCACUAUUGUCCUUUGCUCAUGUUCGUAUGUGCUACUUUCUUCACCGGUCAUCACAUCAUGACCUAUGGCUUUUAUCUAUUCAUUCACCGAAAGCCUAAUAAUUCUGAAAGCUUGCAAUUCCUCUGGUGGGUAUUGGAUUCUUAUCCAACAUGUACGAGAUGAUUGCACUCAAAUUUCACUUGAAUGCAAAGCAUCAUUUUUCACUUCAAUCUCAUUCAAAUUGAACAGUAAGCUCCGUUGGAAACAUUACAAAUAUAUAUAUAUAUAUAUAACAUAUAUUGUAUGUUAUAUUUAUUUACUAUAAAGUAAUAUAGUUUUUUAAACUAUAUUAGUAAGAUAUAACUAAGACAGUUAACUUAAAAUAUACCUUGAAUAAUGUUAAGCUUUCAUCAUAUUUCUUAAAUUAGUUACUCAUGAACAGCAAACAUAAAUUACAAGAUGGAAGCUAUGAGCACAAUUGCUAAUUUUCUACCAAUGAAAGGUGGUGCCUUCAACUGCUCUAGAAAAGAAAGUGGCCAAGGAGUCCCAGAAACUUUUCCGCUCUUUUCAUGUUCCUCCCACUCUGUACC
rnacentral:lncRNA from 1 species